UACGUAGGGUGCGAGCGUUAAUCGGAAUUACUGGGCGUAAAGCGUGCGCAGGCGGUUCGUUGUGUCGGCGGUGAAAGCCCCGGGCUUAACCUGGGAAAGGCCGUCGAAACUGGCGAACUGGAGUGUGGCAGAGGGGGGUGGAAUUCCGCGUGUAGCAGUGAAAUGCGUAGAGAUGCGGAGGAACACCGAUGGCGAAGGCAGCCCCCUGGGCUGACACUGACGCUCAGGCACGAAAGCGUGGGGAGCAAACAGG
rnacentral:rRNA from 1 species